rnacentral:rRNA from 1 species
UACGUAGGCAGCGAGCGUUGUUCGGAAUUACUGGGCGUAAAGAGUGUGUAGGCGGUGCUCUAAGUUCGGUGUGAAAUCUCCCGGCUUAACUGGGAGGGUGCGCCGGAAACUGGAGUGCUCGAGCGUGGGAGAGGAAAGCGGAAUUCCUGGUGUAGCGGUGAAAUGCGUAGAUAUCGGGAGGAACAUCGGUGGCGAAGGCGGCUAUCUGGACCGUAACUGACGCUGAGGCUCGAAAGCUAGGGGAGCAAACAGG